rnacentral:rRNA from 1 species
UACGGAGGAUGCAAGCGUUAUCCGGAUUCAUUGGGUUUAAAGGGUGCGCAGGCGGAGAUAUAAGUCAGUGGUGAAAAACUGCCGCUCAACGGUAGUAUUGCCAUUGAUACUGUUUCUCUUGAGUAUGGAUGAGGUAGGCGGAAUGUGCAGUGUAGCGGUGAAAUGCAUAGAUAUUGCACGGAACACCAAUUGCGAAGGCAGCUUACUGGGCCAUUACUGACGCUCAGGCACGAAAGCGUGGGGAU